AGUGAACGCUGGCGGUAGGCCUAACACAUGCAAGUCGAACGGCAGCACAGUAAGAGCUUGCUCUUACGGGUGGCGAGUGGCGGACGGGUGAGGAAUACAUCGGAAUCUACUUUUUCGUGGGGGAUAACGUAGGGAAACUUACGCUAAUACCGCAUACGACCUACGGGUGAAAGCAGGGGAUCUUCGGACCUUGCGCGAUUGAAUAAGCCGAUGUCGGAUGAGCUAGUUGGCGGGGUAAAGGCCCACCAAGGCGACGAUCCGUAGCUGGUCUGAGAGGAUGAUCAGCCACACUGGAACUGAGACACGGUCCAGACUCCUACGGGAGGCAGCAGUGGGGAAUAUUGGACAAUGGGCGCAAGCCUGAUCCAGCCAUACCGCGUGGGUGAAGAAGGCCUUCGGGUUGUAAAGCCCUUUUGUUGGGAAAGAAAAGCAGCAGGUUAAUACCCCGCUGUUCUGACGGUACCCAAAGAAUAAGCACCGGCUAACUUCGUG
rnacentral:rRNA from 1 species